rnacentral:rRNA from 1 species
CACGUAGGGUGCGAGCGUUGUCCGGAAUUAUUGGGCGUAAAGAGCUCGUAGGCGGUGUGUCGCGUCGGCCGUGAAAACUGGGGGCUUAACUCUGAGCGUGCGGUCGAUACGGGCAUCACUUGAGUUCGGCAGGGGAGACUGGAAUUCCUGGUGUAGCGGUGAAAUGCGCAGAUAUCAGGAGGAACACCGGUGGCGAAGGCGGGUCUCUGGGCCGAUACUGACGCUGAGGAGCGAAAGCAUGGGGAGCGAACAGG